rnacentral:hammerhead_ribozyme from 2 species
AAGCGAAACCGCCCUGGUACGCCGGGGCUGUCUGCCGGACGUGGUUGUCCGGUACUGAUGAGCAGCCAACC